rnacentral:misc_RNA from 1 species
AACGGUCUAUACCUGCGGUACCUGCGGAGGGAUCAUUACAGAGUUGCAAAACUCCCAAACCAUUGUGAACGUUACCUUCUCGUUGCUUCGGCGGGCGGCCCGGGUCCUUCCCGGCGCCCCCCGGCCCCUCGCGGGCGCCCGCCGGAGGUAAACCAAACUCUUGAAUUGUAUGGCCUCUCUGAGUCUUCUGUACUGAAUAAGUCAAAACUUUCAACAACGGAUCUCUAGAUCGGAAGAGCA